rnacentral:rRNA from 1 species
UACGUAGGGUGCGAGCGUUAAUCGGAAUUACUGGGCGUAAAGCGUGCGCAGGCGGUUUUGUAAGCCAGAUGUGAAAUCCCCGGGCUCAACCUGGGAACCGCAUUUGUGACUGCAUCGCUGGAGUACGGCAGAGGGGGAUGGAAUUCCGCGUGUAGCAGUGAAAUGCGUAGAUAUGCGGAGGAACACCGAUGGCGAAGGCAAUCCCCUGGGCCUGUACUGACGCUCAUGCACGAAAGCGUGGGGAGCAAACAGG